GAAAAAUCUGAAGUCUGAAUCAUAAGUUAACAGUAUAGGGCUCAUAAUAUGUCCAUCUCAACAAUGGGUUCUGGGAAUUAAGGAUCCAUACAAAUUAAGCUCAUCAGCCUAGAACAGUGGCUCUUAAAGUAUGGUCCUCAGAUCAGCAGCAUCCACUCUCCAGGAUUUCAAACAGCAGUAAAGAGAAGCAAUCAAAAACAUAAAAUGUAUCUGCUAUUUUAAGAAGAGGGAAAAGAGAAAAAAUAAUCUACCUCAGCCAAUUCAUUCUAUAGAAUUUGUUGAAAACAGACCAAUCAAAUUGCUGUUGUCAAUACUACUAGCCAAAGAUUAUUUGUCUUAUGGAAUAUUUCAGUAAUGGAAUUUUAUGUAUAUACUUGUUUUUGAAAUAAUCAAAAUACAUGUGCAUAUCCAUUUCAAAUUCACUUAGAUUACUCUUAAAAACUGUUUGAUAAACAAGUAGACACCAAAAAAGAGCUUUGGGGAGAAAGGUGCCUUUUUUUUUUUAUUACUUUCUAUAGACAGUGAUGGUAGCAUCGUAUA